rnacentral:rRNA from 1 species
UACAGAGGUGGCAAGCGUUGUUCGGAAUCACUGGGCAUAAAGGGCGCGUAGGCGGCGAGGCAAGUCGGGUGUGAAAUCCCUCAGCUCAACUGAGGAACUGCGCCCGAAACUACCUUGCUAGAGUGCAGGAGAGGAGAGUGGAACUCCUAGUGGAGCGGUGAAAUGCGUAGAGAUUAGGAGGAACGCCGGUGGCGAAAGCGACUCUCUGGCCUGUAACUGACGCUGGAGGCGCGAAAGCUAGGGGAGCAAACGGG